AUUGAACGCUGGCGGCAGGCCUAACACAUGCAAGUCGAGCGAGCGGCGGACGGGUGAGUAAUGUAUGGGGAACUGCCUGAUGGAGGGGGAUAACUACUGGAAACGGUGGCUAAUACCGCAUACUAUCGGAUGUGCCCAGAUGGGAUUAGCUAGUAGGUGGGGUAACGGCUUACCUAGGCGACGAUCCCUAGCUGGUCUGAGAGGAUGACCAGCCACACUGGGACUGAGACACGGCCCAGACUCCUACGGGAGGCAGCAGUGGGGAAUAUUGCACAAUGGGCGCAAGCCUGAUACAGCCAUGCCGCGUGUAUGAAGAAGGCCUUAGGGUUGUAAAGUACUUUCAGUGGGGAGGCGUUACCCGCAGAAGAAGCACCGGCUAACUCCGUGCCAGCAGCCGCGGUAAUUC
rnacentral:rRNA from 1 species